rnacentral:lncRNA from 1 species
UCAAGGGAUUUAAAUAAAAAUGUCUGAAAGCUUAUACAAAACCUAAAAAACAUUUUGCCUCUUCCUCGUACUCACCGUCUCUAGCCGCCACCACCGUCUCUAGCCGCCACUACCGUCUCCGUCACUCCUCCGCCGGCGGAGCUCCAAAUGACCCAAAAUUUUCACCACAGAACCAUCUUCCCGUCCUCUUUCCAUUCCCCUGCUUGGUUUCCCUCGAAUCUUCACCCAACUAUUCAAAUCUUCAAUUUUGAUUUUCCGGCCAAGCUACAAAAUAGUCCAAACCGGACCAAAUUGAUACCAGAUAACCUUCGUCCCCCCCUCAUCAAUAAAACAUGCUCAGAAUCCCUCGAAUACAAGUAGAAGAGCCUGAAUUACAGAUCUAGGGUUCACAUUAUCUCGGACUGUUUGAUGAUUUUUUUUCAAAGACGAGUUAACUCAGGUUAAUAUUUUAGGUUCUUCCUAUGAGAUGGACAUAUAAUAUUAACUUGAGGUUAAUUUCAAAGGUUUUGUUUGAAGACUAAUCGGUAAGUUUUUUCUCUCUUUCUGUCUUUAGUUUUUUUAGUUUAAUUUGUAGUUCUGUUCAUUCUUAGUUUAAUUACCAUUUCUGUUUAGCUUAUUUGAAUUUAGUCGCAUUCAGUUUUAAUUGGUCAGUUGUUGGUUUGAUCUCUAGGGGUCAGGUUAAUUUUAAUUAGCUUGGUUUGAUUAGUUUCAGUCGAAUAGCAUUCUGGUGAACUGUUGCUUCUUGUUGGUUUGUCAGUCCAGUAUUGUUUUUCAUUCUGUGAUAGUUAGUCGACUCGUAUUUGUUUAUGGCAAUUCGUUUAACAUCCUGAUUAGUUAAAAUAUUAGUAUUGUUCUUUGAUUGAUUAGUGUAAUUAGUUCUUCAGUUUAGUUAGUAUUAGUUGGAUGCAUUAUUAGAGUUUUAGGAUUUAUCUUGGUUAUAGCUGAAUGGGCUUUUGGUUGGGUAGUAAUUUCAGGGAUAAGUCAGGGGCAGUUUAGGUAGAAAAAAGGAUAGUUCGAUUAAAAUUGGUGAAUUCAAAACAAAGUGAAGGGUAGUAUAGGCAUUGCAUAGGCAAAAGAACACUCUAAAACCCUCUAGGUGGGGGUACAAGUAGAAUUUCAGUAAUUUUUAGGUAGUUACUUGAAUGACAAUUCAGAAAAAUAGAGGGUUAAAAAGAAAUAAAAGAGGGACUAAUAGUGCAAACUGAAAAUCUGAGGGCUGUCACAUCUUUGCGUAUAUAAAGCAGCCCCAAUGCCUUAAUGAACAAGUUUGGAAACCCAAGAAUUUCCCCCAAAAGUGUGUGCUGCAGAUUCCAGAUCUCAGACUUGCAAUUCAAAUUCCAAACUUCAAAAAACAAUAGAAAAUCUCCAAAAAAUUUAAAAAAAUUGUUACAUUGGAUUCCUAAUCUAAUUGCAAGUUCUGGUGACUCUUCUUUAGGAUUAGUAGUCUUCAAGUUGAAUUUAUGGUUUAUUAAGGUUGCAUAAGGUUUUGGUGUAUUUUCAAGUUUAUUUGGAUUGGUCAGGCUGUUCAGUUUGGUUUCAAAUUGUUUUUGAAAUGUUGAAUCAUUUCUGUGCUGUUGUGGUUCAUUCAUUGACUGUUGCGGAAUUCUGAGUCUGCUUUGGUUUGUGAUUUCGAAUCAAAUUGGAGUGAUAUUUAGGCUAUUUUAAAUUGGUUUUGAGUGGCUUGGUUAGCUCUGUUGGUUUUUCUGAACAUUUCUGGAUCUCUGAGUUUCAUCUGGGCUGAUUGGUGUUGUGUGAAUUCCAAUUACUGGUUACUGCAAGCUGCUGACUGCUCUUCUGUUACUAACGUCUAUUUCUGUUCAUUAUAUCUCCAUGUAUUCCCUAGACCCCACUUUGUGGGGGCUAUACUGGGUAGUUGCUGUUGUUGUAUAUCUCCAUGUAUUCCUUUGGCCUUUGGCCUUGUGUAUACUGUGAAGGUUCCAUGUGAUCUGAUUCGAAGUUCAAUCGAAGAAGUGUGUUUGAUUUAUUCUACUGAAUUUAGUUGGACUCUGUUCAGUUUUAGAUGUGAAAGUAUCAUGUUUAUGCCAAACUUGCAUCAGUUGUGUAAUAGGACUGUAAAAUUCAACAGUUGGUAAUGAUAGGUUGAUAACAAUGGCUUUAGUUUCUUAGUUCAUUAGAGGUGAAAUGAAUUUUUUUUAUUGAGCCUCGUCUGUUUAAAAUCCACAACACUUGUUGAUUGAGUAGGCUGUUGGUGCCAUAGAUAAGUAUUAGUUGAAAUCCUGUUAUAGCAUAUGAGGUAAAAUUACAUAGUUGACUGUAUGGUUCUCAAUUUUCAAUCUGAUAUAGAUUGUUAAGCUUCAAUUCAAAUGAGACACUCUAGGGACUCGAUCUGUCGACCUCCCCAUACGGUUUCAUUCAAUUUGUCCAAUGCGGGCUGCUUCAGGCCCAAUGACUAAGGUCGUUAAAAACUUGAGCCAUCCUGCACGAUACAGCUUGGUCUUUGGGGGCCAGGCUGAAUUUUGCCUCGUUUGCUCGAAUUUGGUUGGCGUUUGAGGCCCGGAAUUUAAUAUUAAUCAAUUAGGAUAUUUUCUUUUCUUUUAGAGACAAACAAAAAAGUAGAAAAAUAUAGUCGCUUUAGGCUUGCCCUUUUAAAAUAAAAUGAGACGAGCCUCGCCCAAUGAAAUGUAAAAUUGCGGGGCCCUCAAUAGAGGUUUAAAUAUAUUUAGAAAAUCGGGAAGGGCCGUUAGUGAAUUUCACCACCCUCCCAAAAGAUAAUAACACGUUAGACUCUUUAGACGCGAUUCUAAUAAAAUUACUUUCUUAAACUCGGGUAUGCAUUUCAUGCGACCCAAAUCAAAUCUCAAAACGUUAAAUAAAGUGUGUUUAGGAUUGCGGGUGCAUUUCAUGUGACACGAUUUAAAGGCACACUUAAAACAACGUUUACCUUCCUUUCUUUAAAAUAAAUACAUUGAAUAAAAGCGGUUAAAAGUAAAAUCGGCACAUAGGUUCUUCAUGCAAUAAGAUCAUAUAAAUAAGCUAAAUGCAACAGUUGAGCGACCGUACUAGAAUCACGGAACUCGGGAAUGCCUAACACCUGUUCUCGUGUUAACAGAAUUUCUUAUCCGGAUUUCUAGUUCGCGGACUGUUAACAGAGUCAUAAUUUCCUCGGUUCGGGAUUUAACCGGUGACUUGGGACACCUUUAAUCUCCCAAGUGGUGACUCUGAAUAGAUAAUAAAUAAAUUUUGUUCCGAUUGUCCUUUAAUUGUAAAAACUCCUUUACGCCCUUGCGGGUGUAGGUGAAAAAGGAGGUGUGACAAGAAUUGAACUAAGCAUAGAUAAUACAAAUAAUUAACAGUUUAUAGCAAGAAAUAACAUGUUCUUUUCUAGAUAAUAUCACAGUUGUCCAUUUACAUUUCAGGGCAUAAAACAAAGUUCAAUCCACAAAAAAAAUACUGAGUAAAAGCAUGUGCAAGUAAUGUCGAGGUCGUACGGUCCGAUCGAACAUAAAAGU